GACGAACGCUGGCGGCGUGCUUAACACAUGCAAGUCGAACGGUAAGGCCCUUCGGGGUACACGAGUGGCGAACGGGUGAGUAACACGUGGGUGAUCUGCCCUGCACUUCGGGAUAAGCCUGGGAAACUGGGUCUAAUACCGGAUAGGACCACUGCCUGCAUGGGUGGUGGUGGAAAGCUUUUGCGGCGUGGGAUGGGCCCGCGGCCUACCAGCUUGUUGGUGGGGUGAUGGCCUACCAAGGCGACGACGGGUAGCCGGCCUGAGAGGGUGACCGGCCACACUGGGACUGAGAUACGGCCCAGACUCCUACGGGAGGCAGCAGUGGGGAAUAUUGCACAAUGGGCGCAAGCCUGAUGCAGCGACGCCGCGUGAGGGAUGACGGCCUUCGGGUUGUAAACCUCUUUCAGCACCGACGAAGCGCAAGUGACGGUAGGUGCAGAAGAAGGACCGGCCAACUACGUGCCAGCCGCCGCGGUAACAC
rnacentral:rRNA from 1 species